UCAUGUAAAAGGAUGUCAACAAUGGAUACUUGUUAGUGUCAGAGAUCAAUAUAAAGUUAUGUUGUUUUGAUGACAGAGAUCAAUAUCAAGUGAUGUUGUUUAUGUGCGUGAGAUGAGUGGAAAGUGAUGUCAUUUUGGUGCCAGAAACCAUAAUAAAGGAAUGUAAUUUAGGCACCUUAGAUCAAUAUAAAGUGAUGUCAUUUUGGUGCCAGAAACCAAAUAUAAAGGGAUGUCAUUUUGUGCCAGAGAUCAAUAUAAAGUGAUGUCAUUUUGGUGCCAGAUAUCAAUGUAAAGUAGGGUCAUUUUGAUGCCAGAGAUCAAUAUAAAAUAAUGUCAUUUUUGCACCUGAGAUCAAUAUAAAGUCAUGAUGUUUUUGGUGCCAUAUUGGUUAAAGAAGAAGUAAAGUUUACUGCCAAAAAUGUUUUGUUAAAAUCAUAUUAUCGAAGUAGUUCUGAACCUUGACCUGUUGAACCCAAAACUGAUUAGUGUUUGCCACUAGUAUAGAGCCAGGCAAGCCUACACAUUCAUGCAGUCUGAAAAGACUCUAUACUAUUGGUAACUCUAUUUCUGUAAUUUGAUAUCCAAAUCCAUUUAACAUCAAAUGUUCCAUAGUCAAAAUAGGGCAAUUCCAUUACACACUUUCAACAGGUUAAGGGUCAUGUAAUAGUAGCCUCUGUGAGGUCUCGGCAAUGAAUUCUAUUAUAUAAAUACAUUUCAUCAUCAGUUACAACUGUAUAUUGUAAUUGUGUAUCCUGUUGUAAGAUAUAUUGUGUUCAAUGAGUAUAAAUGAACCAGGACUAUAUCACUGGUUAGCAAAAUAAUUUUAGACCUUUGAUAUGAAUAAUGUACAAAUGUGUUCAUUGAAAAGUAGAGUGAAGGUAAAUGUAUGGAAUGUAUUCCCGUGCCAAAUGUAAUGUAAUUUUAGGUUUUAGACCAGUUUUAAAUUUUCUUCCUUUCUUCUAUUAAUCAUGUAGCAAUAUUACAACUUCAGCUUGUGUCGUGUUUUUGUUAGAUUUAGCAUCAUUUCAUAUUGCACGAUAUCAUAAUGUUGUCAUAUUCUGUCAAGCAUUUACCUAAUAUUGUAUCAUGUGAGUCUGUUAUCAUGUAUUUUGUCUGGUGUUGUUUUUUUUUGGGGGGGGGGGAUUUGUAAGAAAUCUGUUUUCCACCUACGUUCGACAAAAUUCCCCUCAAGUGUUUCCAACCAAUUCAUCUUGGAAAAAUAUAUACUUUCGUUCUAAUCCCUUUCAAUUUAUGUAACAAUUAUAUACAUAUAAAAUGUAAUAUAUGUAAAAUAUUGAAAUAAAUAUGUUUAAAAAUAUACCCCAUGUUGCUGUUUUUAGGUAACUUCAGGUAAUAUUCAUUUCAUAUCCUGGGAAAUAAAUUGUGUUAAAGUUCUGCAAUAGAAAACUUAUAUAUUGUUUCAUUUCUGCCAUAGAAAACUUAUAAAAAGACUAGAUGCUUUCAGUUAUUUUCAAAUUAUUCAACUUUAUUACUUGCUGUUCAGAGACAAGCUUUUUGGCAAUAUUAUAAUUGCGCUUUUAGUAAAGAAAAUUUGGCGGUUUAUAAUGAAUUCAAUAUUGGUUACAAAUUUUUCACUUGCAUCCACUGUUUAUUAUUUACUACUGGCAAAUUUAUUUUAACAUACCCAUAACAUUUUCAUAAAAAACAUGUAAUUCAAUCGAAUUAAACUUGAAAAAUAUUCAGAUUGCCCCCCUUUGAUAUAAAUAAGGGCAACAGAGUAUUUCCCCAUUAUGCUAUAUAAAAUCAGGUUAACACAAACCCACUACAUCUUGUUUUAAUUUGACCACUGUAUGUCCUUUAUUUAGACAUUUUCUUUGUGACUUUGUAUUUUUCCUUGUGACUUAUUUUUUUAUGCAGGUAAUUACUUAAUAAUUGUGUAAUAGGUGCUACUCUCUAUUUAGUUAUGAAUCAAAAUGCAUGUUCAUUUGUGUUACUUUGUUAUCUAAUUUAUAGUCUAGUCCAUUUGCAUAUCUCAAUAAAAAAAAGUGUUAGGUUAUAUAUAAAUUCCUUUUGCACAAAAUAAAUCUUGUCAUCUUUGAUACAUAUAUUUAUCAGAAAUCGUUGAUCAAAUGCCUUGUACCGGUAUUUGAAUUGGUGUUUAUUUUGCAAUAGUACGGUAACUUUUAUAUCCUUAUUUUUAUCAUCAAAAUUUGUUAUAUGCCAUUUUGAAAUAAGAAACAAGGUAAAUGAAUCAAUAGACCCUCAUCAUUUAUUAUUACAUGUAUUAUGUUUUUUUAAACUUAUAAAUUUUGUUUUUAUUUGUACAUAAUAAAAUUAAUGAACAACA